AUAAAAUAGAUCUAAACUAAAACUAAAUUAUUUGAAAGUUAAUGUGUUGGGAGUAUGUUAUUUUAAAAUAUAUAUGUGAUUAGAUUAAUAUUCUUUGUCAACCAUACUGACAUAAUUAAUAUCUAACAAAGGGUUUAAACAAUCCCUUAUAGUUAACCCCUCCCCCAUUCAGUGGAUCAGUCCAAGUGAGCAGGAAGAGGAAAUGCUUUUUUUUUUUUUUGUUUCAGCCAAAGUAGCAUUUGAGAUACGGAGCAGAGGAUAGAUGGUCAAAUUAAACCAAUACCUGUAGUGGUUACAAUCCUGCUGCUAGUUGCCAAAAGAAAAUUCUUGGCCAGGUCUUCGUCAUCAUCAUCAUCAUCGUCAUCAUCUUCAUCGGUUCUUCGCUUUUUUUUUUUUUUUUGUCGGCUAUCCCUUACGUCCUUACUUCAUCCUGGGUGUCCUCAGCGGUGGUGCGGAUUUUACGAGACGAGACAUUGGAGUCUUCAGCCCAGCCUGCUCUGUUAUAGAGAAUUGUCUGGUCCUGGAGUGGCGAGCCAACCCUAUGAGCCUUCAAACGAGGAGAUAUUGAAAUAGAGGGAGAAAAGUGGUAGGACAGUUACAUUUCGCUUGCCCCACAACAAGUUUGAAGAAAACAGACAUUGUUACGUUACACUUUAAUGCUCAAAGAAUACAACACCGCAAUGGAUGGAUUCUCCCAGUAACUCACUGAACUGAACUUUUGGUCAUUUUCCUUAUUAAUACUAUAGUGAUUGAUUUGUCAUUGAGGUUAUAGUUCUAGACUGUGUUCAGUUAUAUCAUCACUCUGACGGUUACAGGAAAAGCACAGGUUCAUGUGAUUGGUGACCUUGAGGUUCAUGUGAUUCAUUUUCAUGUUUAUAUAUAUAUGGUAGUUUAUUGAUAUUUGAUUUGGGUUAUACAAAGAAAAGUGUACCAAAAUAUUUAGAGAAUCCGCUUGUGUGGUUAGAGGCACUAUAAAAUAGGAGCUUAAACAUUAAUAUAGAUGAAUACAAAUUAAUGAGUGCCUGACUAAUAAUAUGGAGCUAGCAUAGCAUUAGGCUACAUCUUGAAUCUAUAUAGGGAUAUUGAACCAACUAAGUACUCACUUGACAAGUGGAUUCUUAACCAGAUUUAAUGAAAUUUAACAGAAAAAGUAAAAGGGUGUUUAUGGUGGUUCUGUGUAUAAUGUGAUGUUGCACCUGUGAUAUUUUGAGAAGAAUACUGUUCUAAAAAGAAAAUAUACACAAGAAAACCGGUUGAAUGAGAGAGAAUUAAAGUUUAUUUCCUUACCUCUUCAAACGUA